rnacentral:rRNA from 1 species
CCCUUAGAUGAUUUGGGCUGCACGCGCGCUACACUGACCCUAACAAUGAGCAACUGUCUGGCCUGAGAUGGCUGGGUAGCCUUUUCAACCCAUGUCAUGAUUGGGCUAGAUUUUUGUAAGUCUUGAUCUCUAACGAGGAAUCCCUAGUAUGCGUGAAUCAUCGAUCCAUGCAGAUUAUGUCCCUGCCCUUUGUACACACCGCCCGUCGCUCCUACUGAUUGGGUGAUCCGGUGAGCUGUUCGGCCAUAGCAAUGUUUCUUGAGCAGGGCAAUGAAUGUUUCGCAAACCUUGCCACUUAGAGGAAGGAGAAGUCGUAACA